GGGAUUGUGGUGUAGCUUGGUUAGCAUCGGAGCCUUGGGAGCUCCAGACCCCGGUUCAAAUCCGGGCAAUCCCA
rnacentral:tRNA from 1 species